rnacentral:rRNA from 1 species
GGGGGUUUUUUUUUGCAUAUUCAAUUAGCUGAGGAAAAGAAACCAACAGGGAUUGCCUCAGUAACGGCGAGUGAAGCGGCAAAAGCUCAAAUUUGAAAUCCCCCCGGGGAGUUGUAAUUUGAAGAUUGCGUCUUGGAGGCGACCGUGUCUAUGUUCCUUGGAACAGGACGUCACAGAGGGUGAGAAUCCCGUGCGGCACGGCCCCCGGCUCCUUAUAAGGCGCUCUCGACGAGUCGAGUUGUUUGGGAAUGCAGCUCAAAGUGGGUGGUAAAUUCCAUCUAAAGCUAAAUACAGGCGAGAGACCGAUAGCGAACAAGUACAGUGAUGGAAAGAUGAAAAGCACUUUGAAAAGAGAGUGAAACAGCACGUGAAAUUGUUGAAAGGGAAGGGCAUGCCGUCAGAUUGUCAGUGUGGGUAAGAAGCGGGGUACAAAGACUGUGGAACGUGGCCCUCGGGUGUUAUAGCCGCAGUUCAUGCCCCGUCUCUUUCCGAGGCCUGCUUUGAGGACACCGACGUAAUGACGGUACGCCGCCCGUCUUGAACCAACGGACCAAAACGG